rnacentral:rRNA from 1 species
UAAGCAUAUCAAUAAGCGGAGGAAAAGAAACCAACAGGGAUUGCCCUAGUAACGGCGAGUGAAGCGGCAACAGCUCAAAUUUGAAAUCUGGCCUCGGCCCGAGUUGUAAUUUGCAGAGGAAGCUUUAGGCGCGGCACCUUCUGAGUCCCCUGGAACGGGGCGCCAUAGAGGGUGAGAGCCCCGUAUAGUUGGAUGCCUAGCCUGUGUAAAGCUCCUUCGACGAGUCGAGUAGUUUGGGAAUGCUGCUCAAAAUGGGAGGUAAAUUUCUUCUAAAGCUAAAUACCGGCCAGAGACCGAUAGCGCACAAGUAGAGUGAUCGAAAGAUGAAAAGCACUUUGAAAAGAGGGUUAAAAAGCACGUGAAAUUGUUGAAAGGGAAGCGCUUGUGACCAGACUUGCGCCGGGCUGAUCAUCCGGUGUUCUCACCGGUGCACUCGGCCCGGCACAGGCCAGCAUCGGUUCUCGCGGGGGGAUAAAGGUCCCGGGAACGUAGCUCCUCCGGGAGUGUUAUAGCCCGGGGCGUAAUGCCCUCGCGGGGACCGAGGUUCGCGCAUCUGCAAGGAUGCUGGCGUAAUGGUCAUCAGCGACCCGUCUUGAAACACGGACCAAGGAGUCAAGGUUUUGCGCGAGUGUUUGGGUGUCAAACCCGCACGCGUAAUGAAAGUGAACGUAGGUGAGAGCUUCGGCGCAUCAUCGACCGAUCCUGAUGUUUUCGGAUGGAUUUGAGUAGGAGCGUUAAGCCUUGGACCCGAAAGAUGGUGAACUAUGCUUGGAUAGGGUGAAGCCAGAGGAAACUCUGGUGGAGGCUCGCAGCGGUUCUGACGUGCAAAUCGAUCGUCAAAUCUGAGCAUGGGGGCGAAAGACUAAUCGAACCAUCUAGUAGCUGGUUACCGCCGAA